rnacentral:misc_RNA from 1 species
UCUCCGUUGGUGAACCAGCGGAGGGAUCAUUCCAAAUAUUUGACUACUCGCAACCCUAGCGUACAUAACCAAUUCUGUUCUAAUGGUUUCAGGCCUUUUGAACAGGUCGGCGCGAGUAGGCCGUUCCUCCCGGACCGCCGGGGGCGACGGUCCCGAGGGCCUUUUAUAUCUUAACCACUGAUCACCCACGAAUAUAACAAAAAAACUAAUCCAAAUUUACUAAUACAAAACAAUUACAACUUUCAACAAUGGAUCUCUUAGCUGACGGAUCGACGAAAA